rnacentral:lncRNA from 10 species
CUCAAGGGGAGUUAACAGUGUGAGCACAUAACGGUCAGCACAGCAGGACUCAAGCAGAAAGCAGGGGAGUUGGAGGAAACCUCGUUCCAGCACAGAUGGUCCUGACUGACAACCCCAGCCAGCCUUGGGAGCAAUAGUUGAGAUAAAUCUAAAAUUAUAGGGUCUUCCCACAAAGAUCCUGGAAAGGCAUGGAAAGAGCCUGACUACACUUAAUGGAGAUGCUCCACAGAUGCAAGUUUUUCGCCACAAAAUACAGCUUUGCAAGGUCACUUCUGUUUGCUCACUUUGUGGCAGCCAUUUUUAUUUCUUUAAAUAUAAAAAAUAUAUUUUGAGGUAAAAUAUUUUUAUUUCCUUCAGAGUUAUUAGUGGAAUUGUGUCCUCAAAAAAAAAAAAAAAAAAAGGCCAAGUGCAGUGGCUGUCACCUGUAAUCCUAGCACUUUGGGAGGACCAAGGCAGGUGGAUCACCUGAGGUCAAGAGUUCAAGACCAGCCUGGCCAGCAUGGCAAAACCUCGUCUCUACUAAAAAUACAAAAAAAAAAAAAAAAAAAAGCCAGGUGUGGUGGCAUGUGCCUGUAAACCCAGCUACUCAGGAGGCUGAGGCAUGAGAAUCAUUUGAACUUGGGAGGCAGAGAUUGCAGUGAGCCGAGAUUGUGCCACUGCAUUCCAGCCUGGGAGACAGGGUGAGACUCCAUCUCAAAAAAAUAAAAAAUAAAAAAGAUAUGUCGAAGUCCUAACUCCUAGUACCUCAGAACUGAAAAUAGAGUUUUUACAGAGGUAAUCAGAUUAAGAUGAGGUCUUUAGUGGGCCUCUAGUCCAAUAUGACUGCUAUCUUUAUUGAAAGGGGGAAAUUUAAACAUAGAGAUAGACACAUACAGAGGGAAGACACACAGGGAGGAUGCCGUGUGAAGAUGGAACACUAGACGGACACAUGUACAAGUCAAAGAAUGCCAGAAAUUGCCAGCAAACCACCAAAGUUGGAAGAAGCCAAGAAGCAUUCCCCUGCAGGUUUCAGAGGGACCGUGACCCUGCGACACCUUGGCCUCAGAGUUUUCAGCCUUCAUAACUGUGAGACGAUACAUCUCUGGUGUUCUAAGCCACACAAUGUGUGGUACUUUGUUUUGACAGCCCUAGGAAACUACUACAGAAUGUGUCUGAGACCUUGGACCAACCAUCCCUGGUCUGGACAUCAGCCUGCCAACACCUACACAGAGUCAACUUGGGCGGGUCACACAUGCAGCAGAGGCAGCCGGACACCAUGCUCCUGUAUGGGUGGCCCACGUCCACAGCUGACCACCUCCAGCUGUUACAGUAGAUAGCUAGCUAGUCAGGCAUGAGUGGGGCAGGAGGAGACUCCCCCCAACCCACUAGGAAUGUCAGGCAACCAUCAGGUAAUGGUCCAGCAGUUGUCACAUUGCCUCUCUAAAAUGAUCAUAGGUUAAAGCUGGUGCCAGGGAGAGGUAGUUUCCCAGUAGAUACAAGUACCUGAAAUUGGUAAUCGGCAGGCUCCAAUAAGAUCUCAGGAAUUGGGCAAGUGGGCUUAUGCAUGCAGAUUAAGAGGAAAAAUGGCAGAGUAUGACCUUCCAGGGGCAUUCCACCAGAAAAUGGAAGAAAGCCUCGAGUGAGCAUGCACACAACUCCAGUAAACACAGUGCACAUGCUCACCUUCCAAGCGCAAGCAGGGCACUGUGCAUGCAGGCGGCUCACCCUAAGGGAAGAAUGAAGGGAAAGGGGCACAAGACAUGGAAGUAGGCCAGCAUAUGAACUUUUAAAUCACACCCUGCACUGGACCUCCAAGAUGUCAGCUUAGGUCUCUUUCAAAUAUACUUUCCUUUCUUUCCUGUUCUAAGGCUUUUUAAUAAACUUCCACUCCUGCUCUGAAACUUGCCUCAGUCUCCUUUUCAGCCUUAUGCCUCUCGGUCAAAUUCUUUUCUUCUGGGGGGCAAGAACUGAGGUUCCUGCUGACUCAUAUGGGUUUGCCACCAGUAACUCAGAUACCUUCUACCACUAACAUAUUUUGGUGCCUUGUGACUCGGAUCCCCUCUGCCAGUAACACAGUCUUGUUGCCCACCUGACAAACCCAGACCUCUUCAGUCAGUCAACAGCAUAUGGAGACUUUGCUUUCUAAUAUGGGACAGAAAUCAUUCCUGAUCUUUGGGCUUUGCUGCGGUUUGAAUGUCUCCUCCAAAACUCAUGGUGAAAUUUGAUUGCCAUUGUGAUGGUAUUAAGAGGUGGGACCUUUAAGAGUUAGUUAGAUCAUGAGAGCUCUGCCUUCCUGAAUGAAUUAAUGCUGUUAUUGUGGGAAUGACUUAGUUAUUGUGAGAGUGGGCUCCUGAUUUAAAAGAUGAGUUUGGCCCCCUCCCUCUCUGUCUGUCUUGGAUGCUCCCUGGGCCUUCUUCUGCCUUGUGCCAUGGGAUGAUGCACCAAGAAGGCUCUUACCAGAUGCUGGCCCCUCAACCUUGGACUUCCCAGCCUCCAGAACUGUGAGAAGUAAAUUUCCAUUCUUUAUAAAUUAUCCAGUCUCAGGUAUUCUGUUGUAGCAACACAGAACGGACUAAGACAGGCUCUAAAAGAUCUUAUUCAUUUCUCAUCCCUGGGAACCUACUACACCCUGUACUCUACUGGCUUUCCUGCUUGGCAGGAAAAUGUUCCCACUCAGUGCCCAGCUUUGGUGCCUCAGUUUUUAUUUUCUUUUUAACUGACUCCAUUUUGUUCACUGUACUUGGAGCAAAAUAGCUUACUAUAAAAGCAAGAUGAUCCACAGCUCUGAUUUCCACACAAAAUUGAAAAUAAAAUAAAUAGACUGGGAAUAUAAGCUCUACAAGGGUAGGGAUCUUUGUUUUGUUCCCAUUGUUGGAUUUUAAGUACCUAGAGCAAAUAUUUGUUGAUUAUGCAUUGAAUAAAAAUGUGCUGAAUGACUAAUGAUUGAUAAAUGAGAAGACAAGUAUAUAUUCUGAACAGAUCUCAAAAAUUAAUCAGUAAAGCAGGAACUUGAGCUAUUCAAAAUGAACUGGUAGUAUUUCAGAACAUAGGCAAUGCCAUUUUUUAAAAAGAUAUGAUGUGGUUUAAAAUAAAGUUUUCUUGCAUAUUCCUCUGAAUUUAUUGCUUCCCCUGCAACACUUUUAAGUGGUAGAUGUUUUUUCCCAAUAGCCAUCACACCACUUGACCUAGUAGGUCCCCUACUUAUUUAUUGACUAUAACUCCUAGUGCACCAUCACUCUGUACAACAUAAGCCCCUGUUAAUUUCUGUAGAUUUACAUAAAGAUGAUUCUUCCAUCACCCUAGACUCUCAGUUCCUUGAAUUCUUCUCCUUUAAAAGCCCUCUUCCAUUUUACCUUACUUCUAUUUCCAAGAUGCACUUAUUACCAAUAAUCAAAACUCCUUCUCAUCUCAUUUCCAGGUAUCCUACACUGACCACCACCUUUAAUCUUUCCUAUAUGCUCCCUUCAGUCCUUCAAUUCCAACCAUCCUUCGAGUCUAGCAGAACUUUAAAGAUAUUGAUCCUAUCACUCACCCACUUGCUAUCCUAUUUCCUCAUCUUCCUCUGCAAGAAUUCCAUGGUUAAUCAUUAUAAUCACUCCCUUGGUACAUCCUCAACUCUCUCCCCGUCUCCAUUUGUCAUGCUGGCUCAGCAAAGAAACAAUCCUGGUUAAAUGAAAAUCUCUGUUUCCUCCGUGCCUGCUCUCAUGUGGUUGAAUGUGGCUGGAAAAAAACCAAAAAACCAAAAAAACACACAAUCUUGCUGGCUGGUCUCACCUUAAACUCAUGACCACAGUCUCAAAUGGGCUUUUAGUGCCUCUGGGCAAUCUUACUAUACUUUCCUAACCCAUUUGACCUUGUGCUUUUCUGGAUGAAAAUUUCAAGCUUCUCUUUUUCCAGACGUCUAGCACCUUCUCCCCGAUCCUCUCAGCUAACCAUCUUGACUCCUAUUUCACCAAGGAAAUAGAAGCACCAGAAGACUUCUACCCACUGCUACCACCACACCUACCCACCUGCAAGCACCUGUACCUGCAGCAUCUGUGGUUUCUCUCUUCCUGCACGUGAACCAUUCAUGCUGCUAUCUAAAGUCAGUUCCUCCACUUACACCUUCAUCCCAUCCUCUCUUACCUACUCAAGGGCAUCACUCCAUCAAUCUCUCUCCUGCAUCAAAAAUUUCCUCUUUCUGCCAUUUCUCCCAUCUGAAGGCAUGGGGAGGGUGAA